GCCGGGACCCAGCUGGGAGGCCGAAGGCUUGGGGUGGCCAGUUGCUUGGUCCCACACAAAACCUUCCGGCAACGUGCCUUUUCCAGGGGACCAGCUGUGCUGGAGUCAGUGAUGCUGAGAGAUUAUUGCGUGCUACCCCAAAGGCUCUGUUAGGUUAGAGAACAUCAUUCCCAGUAAGGGCUAUGUCUCCACCAGCAAAGGGAGGAUUCUACUGAAUUUGAAGCUGGGUCUACCACCUGGCCGCCUUGGACUUCUCAUGCCAGUGGAUCAGAAGGGAGUUAUAGUAAUGUUGGGAAUGCUCAUGCUUGGAACCCUAUGUCCAAGUUGUAAGGAAGCCCAAGCAGCCCAUGAAGAGGCCCACGUUAAGAAGAACCAGGGCCCUGACCCACAGUCUAAGUGAACUCUCAGCUAACAGCACCAUUUUGCCAACCAUGUGAGUGAACUGUCUUCAUAGUUGACUUGCCAGCCCCCAGCUGUGCUGCCCCAGAAACAUUGCAUGGAACAGAUGACCCUUCCUCCUGAGCCUGGCCCAAAUGACAGAUUUGUGAACAAAAUAAAUGACUGUUGUCUUAAGCCCUAGAUUUUUGGGAUAGCGUGGACAUGGGCCAUGGGCCAUGCAAAUUCUCAUUGUUCUUGUCUUCCCCUAGUUUUCUAAAGGGAAGGAAAAAAAGUGUGUGUGUGUCUGGGAAGGCAUAGAGGAGUGAGUAAAGCUGGGAGGCAGGGGCUGCUUCUCCAUACGUCUCAUCUCUCGUCCACUCUUCUUUCUGCACCCACCGCUGACCCCUUACUAGGUGUUCUCUGCCUGUACGCCUGUGACAAGUCUUUGUCACAUUCAAGAAAGUAUAAUUAGUGUGGUUCUCACAUAAGAAUGUUAAACCCCUAAUGGUGUCUGGAAAUGGAUUUUUUUUUUUGUCAUAUGGUGUGGGUGGAUGUUGGCAUUUAGUAGGUGAGACCCAAGGAUGCUAAAUGUACUGCAAUGUGUAGGACUGUCAACUCCAAAAUAUCAUAGCUUUCACAUUGAGCAGCACUG